rnacentral:misc_RNA from 1 species
CGCCGCCUUUCUCUCUGAAGCGAUGCUCUCUCUCUCAACAAGGAAGAAAAUCCCAGAUACCAAAUAUUGAAAUAAAAAAAAAAAAAGGAAAAACCAGGCAAACACUCCAAAUAUUUUCUGUCACGCGUGCUCAGCCUACAAAAUUUUCCCGAGAAAACGAAAUAUGGACUCGACGCCCGUGAAUUGGGAAGCUUUGGACUGUCUUGUCAUUGAUUUUGCGAAAUCAGAGAAUUUAAUCGAGGAUUCCUUUUCUUCUCCAUCGCCAUUAUCUUCUCCUACUCUUUCUCCUUCCCCUUCCGUCUCCUCUUCGUCUUACCAAUCCAGAUUGAUCAUUCGCCAGAUCAGACGGUGCUUGGAGGCUGGUGACAUUGAUUCAGCCAUCGAUCUUCUCCGGACUCACGCUCCUUUCGUCCUCGAUGACCAUAGGCUUCUGUUUCGGUUGCAGAAGCAGAAAUUUAUUGAGCUAUUGAGGAGCGGGACGGAAGAGGCUAGAGAUUCUGCAAUUGAAUGCAUAAGAACGGCUCUUGCUCCCUCUGCUCUUGAUGCCUAUCCGAUUUGCAGAGUACGAGUCUGAAGUCGUGAUGUCUGGGUUCUGCCUAAAUGAUGUACCAUACAAACCCUACUAAGCAAAUUGAAUCUCAGGAAAGACUAAAUUAUGUUGCCAUUUUAUUUGUAUCUUAUCUUCUUGUGAAUUUUCAUUUUCAUUUUUUAUUUUUUAUAUGCAUGAUCUAGCAAUAUGAUAUUGGCAUUACACUUGCUAAACCAAUUUAGUAUUAUAACCUUUUUAAGUGAUGAAUCUAUUUUUCUGUGAGCUUUGGAACAAUGGCUUUAUAUGUGGAAUCGAUAUCCAAAAAUGUUUUUCUUGAAUACAGUGGUUUGCUUUUAGUUGUUGGGAUCUGACACAUUUCUCUACCGUGUUCAAGGAAGCAUAUGAGGAAUUUAAGCAUGUCCUUCUUGCCUUCAUAUAUGACAAAGAUGACCAGAGUUCUCCUGUGGCAAAUGAGUGGUCUGAGAGGAGAAGGUUUGACAUUGCUGGAUUAAUGUCUUCUGUCCUAAGAGCUCAUUUACAUGCAUAUGAUCCAGUCUUUUCAAUGACGUUGAGAUAUUUGAUAAGCAUACAUAAAGGUUUUUGCUAUCGUCAAGGAGUCUCAUCACCCAUUUCAAACCUUACUGAAAGGUUGCUUCUUGAAGAACGUGAUCCUCCUGCUGUACCGCAAGAGAGUUUGUAUGAGGCACCUCCAUUUGAUGAGGUGGAUAUACAAGCUCUUGCGCAUGCUGUGGAGCUUACAAGACAAGGGGCAGUUGAUAGCUUGAGAUUUGCUAAGGGAGAUCUGUUUCAAGCAUUCCGGAAUGAAUUGUGUCGGAUGAAAUUGGAUGUCUCCAUGCUUGAUGAGCUUGUUUGCGAAUACUGUGUCUAUAGGGGCAUUGUGGAUUCUGGUCUUACUCUCCCUUCUGGAGUGCAAAACCCUUCUGAACCUUUAAAAGUCAAUCAACCAGAACCCAGCUAUUGUUCAUCAAGAAACUGUUCUCUUGAAGUGGAUCAUGCUACCAGUAAACAUUCAGAUGGUGAAACUUCCAUGAGCAAUGCUCAUACAGAUGGUUCUCCUGAAAAUAAUGUGGAUAUGAAUAGCACAACUGAUGCUGAGUUAAGAUAUUCUUGUGAAUCUACUAGCAAUUGUGAAGAUUGUAGCACCAGUGGAUCAAAUCAAACUGCAGUUUCGAAAGUUCUACACAGAAACAGAAACUACAUAACUGGAGAAAGGAGCAAACGCAAGCGAUGGAGGGGUAGGGUAGAUGACCAAGAUUAUAUUUCUGGAGUUUCUGUCCACGGAUGCAGCAAGCUAGAUUUUAGUGCUACUGCUACCUGCUUAAAUAUGUCAAAGGAACAACAGGUAACUUCUUGGUAAUUUGUUACGUUUUUCUGUGAUAGAUUCACUGUGUAAUAGAUUUUUCUGCAGGGCUUUGAGAAAAGUUCCCCAAUGGACCUAAACAUUAGGGAGGAUAAAUAUGAGAUUGUGCUGGGGAUGAAGGAACUAGCAAGUAGAGGAAUGGCUGCAGAGGUUGUGGAAGAAGUUAAUUCUUUGGAUCCACACUUUUUUAUGCAAAAUCCUAUCUUGCUUUUCCAGUUGAAGCAGGUUGAAUUUCUUAAGCUGGUCGGUUCUGGCGACCAUUCAAGUGCCCUAAGGGUUGCGUGCUCACAUUUAGGGCCCUUAGCUGCAAAUGAUCCAACUCUGCUGAAGCCCUUGAAGGAGACUUUGUUGGCAUUGCUCCGUCCUAAUGAAGAUGCAUUAGGAAAAGGCUUGCCUUUACAUGCUCUUGCAACUUCUCUCC